rnacentral:lncRNA from 1 species
UCUGGCACCUCCUAUGGAGUGCAUUUUUCAUGUCUUUUACCUUUACUUGAUGGCCGGGCAGUCAAUUUUUUUUGUUUGUCAGGAUUUGUAUGCAUUAUCCAUUAACUGUUUUUUUUUUUUUUCUUGACAGAUAAUAGGGGCAACAACUACUAGUACACGUUUUGGAAAGCUGUUAGGAAUGGAAAGCUCAAGAAUCUUUGUCUUCCCUUCUCGUUCUGGUUUGAUUUCAAGUUGAUUAGAGUAGUUAUGCCUGAACAGAAGAUUGUCACUAUUUUCAGAAUAUGGUGGCGUUUUGCUUGAUCUUGAUACAAAGUUCAUCUUCAUGUAUCAUUUAAUCUUUUUAUUUCUGUUGUAAAGAAAUAUUACUUGGUUCAUGUAGGAACAUAUAUCAGGUAUUGAGACUUGAUCUGGACUCCAACCGGUCUCUGUCCCCUUGGGGCUUGGGCUACAGAUAAGAUAUAAUUAAUCUGCAAAAUAGUAUAGGGGUCUGGGUGUACAACUGUACAAGUACGAAUUAGCUGAUAAAUAA